rnacentral:rRNA from 1 species
CCUACGGGAGGCAGCAGUAGGGAAUCUUCCACAAUGGGCGAAAGCCUGAUGGAGCAACGCCGCGUGGGUGCAGAAGGUCUUCGGAUCGUAAAACCCUGUUGUUAGAGAAGAAAGUGCGUGAGAGUAACUGUUCACGUUUCGACGGUAUCUAACCAGAAAGCCACGGCUAACUAAGUGCCAGCAGCCGCGGGAAUACGUAGGUGGCAAGGUGUAUCCGGAUUUAUUGGGAGUAAGGGGAACGCAAGCGGUCUUUUAAGUCGGAUGUGAAAGCCUUCGGCUUAACAGUAGUAGUGCAUUGGAAACUGGGAGACUGGAGUGCAGAAGAGGAGAGUGGAACUCCAUGUGUAGCGGUGAAAUGCGUAGAUAUAUGGAAGAACACCAGUGGCGAAAGCGGCUCUCUGGUCUGUAACUGACGCUGAGGUUCGAAAGCGUGGGUAGCAAACAGGAUUAGAUACCCUGGUAGUC